rnacentral:rRNA from 1 species
UACGUAGGCAGCAAGCGUUGUUCGGAGUUACUGGGCGUAAAGGGUGUGUAGGCGGUUCUCUAAGUUUGGUGUGAAAUCUCCCGGCUCAACCGGGAGGGUGCGCCGAAAACUGGGGAGCUAGAGUGCGGGAUGGGUAAGUGGAAUUCCUGGUGUAGCGGUGAAAUGCGUAGAUAUCAGGAGGAACACCUGUGGUGUAGACGGCUUACUGGACCGCAACUGACGCUGAGACACGAAAGCGUGGGUAGCAAACAGG